rnacentral:misc_RNA from 1 species
GGAAGGAUCAUUAUCGUGUAAUUCAGUCAUGCCUACUGCAUGAGCAAUUAUAAGCCCGAUCCCGGGUGCCCAUUAUUUUCCUGUUCCUUUUUCCUUCCAAAUCCGCUGGGUUCCAGAGGAGUGUUCUUGGGAGAGGUAUAUAGCCCUCGCGGGUGAACCCUUGUAAGCUUGUUGAGAGGCCUCCAAGCCGCAGGGGACUGGCUUCUCUCUAUGUUUCCGCUAAGCCCCCCAGUGCCUAAAUCUGGUUCCUGUGUCACUGGAUCUCCUGUGUCCAUUUUCUGCAAGAGAGAGUGUACUUGGAGGACCUAUCUUCUCCCCCAUGAGUUCUUUCUCUUGGGUGGUGUUGUAUGCUCGAAGCAACUUGGAGACAUAAACCCCCUAAGUCACUGUACUGGUGUGGGGUGGUG